CCUACGGGAGGCAGCAGUGGGGAAUUUUGGACAAUGGGCGCAAGCCUGAUCCAGCAAUGCCGCGUGAGUGAAGAAGGCCUUCGGGUUGUAAAGCUCUUUUGUCAGGGAAGAAACGGUGGAGGUUAAUACCUUCUGCUAAUGACGGUACCUGAAGAAUAAGCACCGGCUAACUACGUGCCAGCAGCCGCGGUAAUACGUAGGGUGCAAGCGUUAAUCGGAAUUACUGGGCGUAAAGCGUGCGCAGGCGGUUGUGCAAGACAGAUGUGAAAUCCCCGGGCUCAACCUGGGAAUUGCAUUUGUGACUGUACGGCUAGAGUGUGUCAGAGGGGGGUAGAAUUCCACGUGUAGCAGUGAAAUGCGUAGAGAUGUGGAGGAAUACCGAUGGCGAAGGCAGCCCCCUGGGAUAACACUGACGCUCAUGCACGAAAGCGUGGGGAGCAAACAGGAUUAGAUACCCUGGUAGUCCACGCCCUAAACGAUGUCUACUAGUUGUCGGGUCUUUAUUGACUUGGUAACGCAGCUAACGCGUGAAGUAGACCGCCUGGGGAUACGGUCGCAGAUUAAAACUCAAAUGAAUUGACGG
rnacentral:rRNA from 1 species